UCGAAAUUUCUACAUUUUACAAGCAUUGUUGAAUUUGACCCUGGUAACAGCCCUCUGCCAGGACGCGUGGUGGUGAGUUUAUCAGAGAGGUUUGACCUCAUGGUAGGGACAGGGCCGGGCCUGGAGUCAGUCCAUGCUCUAGCCAUGGACCCCCUGUGGGCACAGUGAAGGAAGGGAGCGUGUCUUCCUGUUGGUCCUAGAAAUUUCAGAGCUGGGAGUGUCCUUGGAUGUUAUCUAAUCCAACCCCUCACCGUGGACCUUGGGCAACUGAGCCCCAGAGCUGGGACUAGAGCCCAGGGCUUCUGACCCCCCAGUCCUGCCUGUUUCCUGGGGGAGCCUUCUCCCUCUUUGUCCGUCUAGCCCUGGGCCUUGCGGGGCGCUAGGUUCUGCUUGGAGCUUCCCAGCACAGUGAUUGCACAGAGCUUUUUCAGGGAGCUGACGAAGCAACUUCUGUGUGAAGGAAACCAGGCCAAACACGCUACGUCUCAGCCGCUCUGAUUGCUGCCUCUGUAGGAGGGUGAGGUGCUCACGGAAUCAAGACAGAGAAAAAACUCCAGAGAGGGGACAAGACUUGCCCAAGGUCCCGCAGCGAGCACACGGCCAAUCACGACAGAGGGGCCUUCGGCACAACCGGAGACCCUGAGCCCGAUCCCGGCCGGACGCCAGAAGCCCCUUGAGGACAAGGACUCUAUUUUACCCUUUAUGCCGUCCUCCCUCCCUGCGGGGGCUAGCACUGGGUGCCGCACACAGUAGGGGCUCUGGAAGUCCUCGGUGGUGGUGGGGGGGCAUCUUCUGUCCUGCAGGAGCUGCAGUCACCUGCCAUUCAUGCCUCCAUUCAUUUAUCCAGCAUUUAGUAAGCACCGCUUGUAUGCUUGGCGCCCUGCGAGACAGCGCGAUGCACAGCUGAAUGACACGGUUCACAGCUGGCUCACCUUCUGGUGGGGAUUUCAGGGGUUCCCCCACCUCAUGACAUGCGCUUCUGUGGUUUUCCUCAUUCUCAGUGCGGGCUUCCUGUGCUCCUGUCUGGUGACUUUGCCCUUUUGCCCGGGCGGGAGGCUGAGAAAAUCUGUUCUACUUCCCUCUUCCGGGCCACUUCUGCUCCUUAUUCCUUACCUCCUUCCAAGCUGCUUCCUUCCCCUUCUUCAAGCCCUCUUUGACUAACAUCCCCCAGCUGCUCUGCAGACCCCAGUGUGGAGGUCUUGAGCUCUGCCCAGGCAUCUCUGGUUCUCUGUUUCUUUGUGGGUACCCCCUACCCCCCAUCAGCCUCUGGAGUUUCCCAAGUAUAGGGAUCACCUGCCUUCUGGCUGUUUUUUCUAAAGCCUAAAUAGACCAGCAGAAGGGGCAGGAGGGGAGGUCAUGCUGUCAAUCCCUAGCACACAGGGCCUCUCUUGGGUUCUGCCCCCAGGACUCCCUUAGAGGAAGGGUGACCCCCUGUUGCCACCAGGGUGCUGAUUUGCUAGUCCUGGCCCAAGACCUCUGAGCUCUGAUCAUCCACGCCGAGCCCCAGGGGCUUAGGCUGGGCACCAGCCAUUGGGUAACUGCUCAACCUCACCACCCUUUGUGUUUGAAGGUGGGGGUCUUUAGUCUCCAUUUCACCAACUCCUGGGGUUGGUCAUUUUUCAUGCCCUUAUGGCAUGCAGUUUGCAGGUAAAGAAUGGUUCCAUGAAACCACAAUGCUUUUUUUUCACCUGCUGGAUGACCAAAGUUACAGUGAUUGGCCUCUCUGGGCCUCAGCUAACGAUACCUGUCCUGUCCGUCUCACAGGUAGUUAGGAGGACCAGAGAUCAAGGAGAAGAAAGAGCCCAACCCAAGCAGGGGCUUGGUUUUGUUCUGCUCAGAGCAGGGGUCCAUCCUUGGCCAAGUGUUCAGUGAAUCCCUCUAGAGAGCAGGAGUGGGAAGGAGGAGGAAGGAGGGAGCUUGCUCAGGGAGGGGGAGUGAGAAAGGUGCAGCAGAUAAGAUAAUUUUCUUUCCUUCCUGCUUGCUUUCUUCCUUUCUUUUUCUUUCUUUCUUUCUUUCUUUCUUUCUUUCUUUCUUUCUUUCUCUUUCUUUCCUCCUUCCCUUCC